rnacentral:rRNA from 1 species
AUUGAACGCUGGCGGCAUGCCUUACACAUGCCAGUCGAACGGUAACAGGUUAAGCUGACGAGUGGCGAACGGGUGAGUAAUGUAUCGGAACGUGCCCAGUCGUGGGGGAUAACUGCUCGAAAGAGCAGCUAAUACCGCAUACGACCUGAGGGUGAAAGCGGGGGAUCGCAAGACCUCGCGCGAUUGGAGCGGCCGAUAUCAGAUUAGGUAGUUGGUGAGGUAAAGGCUCACCAAGCCGACGAUCUGUAGCUGGUCUGAGAGGACGACCAGCCACACUGGGACUGAGACACGGCCCAGACUCCUACGGGAGGCAGCAGUGGGGAAUUUUGGACAAUGGGCGCAAGCCUGAUCCAGCCAUGCCGCGUGCGGGAAGAAGGCCUUCGGGUUGUAAACCGCUUUUGUCAGGGAAGAAAAGGUUCUGGCUAAUACCUGGGACUCAUGACGGUACCUGAAGAAUAAGCACCGGCUAACUACGU